rnacentral:rRNA from 1 species
GCGGACGGGUGAGUAAUGCCUAGGAAAUUGCCCUGAUGUGGGGGAUAACCAUUGGAAACGAUGGCUAAUACCGCAUGAUGCCUACGGGCCAAAGAGGGGGACCUUCGGGCCUCUCGCGUCAGGAUAUGCCUAGGUGGGAUUAGCUAGUUGGUGAGGUAAGGGCUCACCAAGGCGACGAUCCCUAGCUGGUCUGAGAGGAUGAUCAGCCACACUGGAACUGAGACACGGUCCAGACUCCUACGGGAGGCAGCAGUGGGGAAUAUUGCACAAUGGGCGCAAGCCUGAUGCAGCCAUGCCGCGUGUAUGAAGAAGGCCUUCGGGUUGUAAAGUACUUUCAGUCGUGAGGAA